UAAGGAAUAUUGCUCAAUGGGAGAAAUCCUGAAGCAGCAACGCCGCGUGGAGGAUGAAGGGUCUAUGACUUGUAAACUCCUGUAAAGAAGGAAAAAAUUCCCAUUAGAUGGGAGAUGAUGGUACUUCUGGAGUAAGCCCCGGCUAACUACGUGCCAGCAGCCGCGGUAAUACGUAGGGGGCAAGCGUUGUCCGGAAUUAUUGGGCGUAAAGCGCGCGCAGGCGGCUUAUUAAGUCUGAUGUGAAAGCCCACGGCUCAACCGUGGAGGGCCAUUGGAAACUGGUAGGCUUGAGUGCAGGAGAGGGGAGCGGAAUUCCCGGUGGAGCGGUGAAAUGCGUAGAUAUCGGGAGGAACACCCGUGGCGAAGGCGGCUCGCUGGCCUGUAACUGACGCUGAGGCGCGAAAGCGUGGGGAGCAAACA
rnacentral:rRNA from 1 species